AAUGCUUUUAAUGUUAGCUCCACUUCCUAUGUGGGACUAUUUGCAAUGCAUUUAUUGCCAUUAACUCAAAAACCCAAUUUCUAUAUAGAUAAUAUAGGACAAUCUAAUAUGGCAUGGUUUAACCCAUGAAUCUUAAAAUUUCUUAGAGUUGUUGAGCACCAAAUAUUUUCCUGUUUUUAUUUGCCUUCAUUUUUUAUAUUCUUAAAAGUCUCUCAAGAAUAUGGGACCAUAUUAUGUGUUUUUUUUCCGCUCUUAUCAGGAUUGUAUAACUCACCUUAUA
rnacentral:lncRNA from 1 species